rnacentral:rRNA from 1 species
CCUACGGGGUGCAGCAGUGGGGAAUAUUGGACAAUGGGGGCAACCCUGAUCCAGCCAUGCCGCGUGUGUGAAGAAGGCCCUCGGGUUGUAAAGCACUUUCAGUGAGGAAGAACGCCUGGUGGUUAAUACCCAUCAGGAAAGACAUCACUCACAGAAGAAGCACCGGCUAACUCCGUGCCAGCAGCCGCGGAAAUACGGAGGGUGCGAGCGUUAAUCGGAAUUACUGGGCGUAAAGCGCGCGUAGGUGGCUUGAUAAGCCGGUUGUGAAAGCCCCGGGCUCAACCUGGGAACGGCAUCCGGAACUGUCAAGCUAGAGUGCAGGAGAGGAAGGUAGAAUUCCCGGUGUAGCGGUGAAAUGCGUAGAGAUCGGGAGGAAUACCAGUGGCGAAGGCGGCCUUCUGGACUGACACUGACACUGAGGUGCGAAAGCGUGGGUAGCAAACAGGAUUAGAUACCCGGUAGUC